rnacentral:rRNA from 1 species
UGCAUUGCGGGGGAUUCGCAAGCCUCCGCCGAUGGAGCGACCGAGUCAGAUAGUAGUUGUGGUAGGGUCACCCAGCCAACGCAUCGUAGCUGUUUGAAGACGACAAGCCACCUUGGACUUAGAACACGGCCCAGAUCUCUACGGAGGCAGCAGUGGGAAUCCUGGACAUGGGCGCCAAGCUGAUCCAGCCAUGCCGCGUGAGUGAAGAAGGUCUUCGGAUGUAAAGCUCUUGCCAGGGACGAUAAUGACGGUACCUGAGAAUAAGCCCCGGCAAACUUCGUGCCAGCAGCCGCGGUAAUACGAAGGGGGCUAGCGUUGUUCGGAAUUACUUGGGCGUAAAGCGCACGUAGGCGGGUCGUUAAGUCAGGGGUGAAAUCCCGGAGCUCAACUCCGGAACUGCCUUUUGUGACUGCAUCGCUGGAGUACGGCAGAGGGGGAUGGAAUUCCGCGUGUAGCAGUGAAAUGCGUAGAUAUGCGGAGGAACACCGAUGGCGAAGGCAAUCCCCUGGGCCUGUACUGACGCUCAUGCACGAAAGCGUGGGGAGCAAACAGGAUUAGAUACCCUGGUAGUCCACGCCCUAAACGAUGUCAACUGGUUGUUGGGUCUUCACUGACUCAGUAACGAAGCUAACGCGUGAAGUUGACCGCCUGGGGAGUACGGCCGCAAGGUUAAAACUCAAAGGAAUAGACGGGGACCCGCACAAGCGGUGGAGCAUGUGGUUUAAUUCGAUGAUAAGCGAGGAACCUCACCAAGGCUUGACAUUUGGCUGCAGAUCCUGGAAACAGGAAGUCCUUCGAGGGUGCCAAACAGAUGCUGCAUGGUUGUCGUCAGCUCGUGUCGUGAGAUGUACCGUUAAGUCGGGAAACGAGCGCAACCCUUAUCCUAUGUUUUACAUGUCAUAGGAGACUGCCCGUUUUAAAUGGGAGGAAGGCGGGAUGACGUCAAAUCAGCAUGGUUCUUACGCCUUGGGCAACACACGUGCUACAAUGGGAGACACAAAGGGACGCCAAACCGCGAGGUGGAGCAAAUCCCUAAAAAUCUUCCUCAGUUCGGAUUGAAGUCUGCAAUUCGACUUCAUGAAGCCGGAAUCGCUAGUAAUCGUGGAUCAGCUAUGCCACGGUGAAUACGUUCUCGGGUCUUGUACUCACCGCCCGUCACGUCAAGGGAGUUGGUAGUGCCAGAAGUAGUUAGCCUAACCGCAAGGAGGGCGAUUACCACGGCAGGGUUCGUGACUGGGGUGAAGUCGUAACAAGGUAACCA